AUUGAACGCUGGCGGCAGGCCUAACACAUGCAAGUCGAGCGGAGCGGCGGACGGAUGGGUGAUGCCUACGAAGCUGACUGGUCGUGGGGGAUGACGUCCGGAAACGGGCGCUAAUACAGCAUACUAUCAGAUGAGCCUAGGUCGGGUUAGCGAGUUGGUGGGGUAAAGGCCUACCAAGGCGACGAUCCGUAACUGGUCUGAGAGGAUGAUCAGCCACACUGGAACUGAGACACGGUCCAGACUCCUACGGGAGGCAGCAGUGGGGAAUAUUGGACAAUGGGCGAAAGCCUGAUGCAGCCAUGCCGCGUGUGUGAAGAAGGUCUUCGGAUUGUAAAGCACUUUAAGUUGGGAGGCGUUACCAACAGAAUAAGCACCGGCUAACUUCGUGCCAGCAGCCGCGGUAAUUC
rnacentral:rRNA from 1 species